AAACACAUAAAACAGUGGUCUUCUCCUCUGAUGUGAUUUUACUAAGUAUUCCUUCACUCUUCAGUUUAGAAAGAGCUGAAUUACUCAAAGAAAUAAACAACAAAACAUUCUGUACUUCAUCAGGUCCAGGAGCUCAAAUGUUGGAAAGGAGCCAGAAUUGUUAUUGCCCCCUGUGAAUCAAGCAGGAUGUACACAGUCAAAAGAAGCUGCUCACUAGAAGUUUAUCUAUAUUAAAUAACUUAUA
ensembl:lncRNA LINC02840 long intergenic non-protein coding RNA 2840